rnacentral:rRNA from 1 species
AUGAACGCUAGCGACAGGCUUAACACAUGCAAGUCGAGGGGCAGCACAGGUAGCAAUACCGGGUGGCGACCGGCGCACGGGUGAGUAACGCGUAUGCAACUUGCCUAUCAGAGGGGGAUAACCCGGCGAAAGUCGGACUAAUACCGCAUGAAGCAGGGGUCCCGCAUGGGGAUAUUUGCUAAAGAUUCAUCGCUGAUAGAUAGGCAUGCGUUCCAUUAGGCAGUUGGCGGGGUAACGGCCCACCAAACCGACGAUGGAUAGGGGUUCUGAGAGGAAGGUCCCCCACAUUGGUACUGAGACACGGACCAAACUCCUACGGGAGGCAGCAGUGAGGAAUAUUGGUCAAUGGGCGUAAGCCUGAACCAGCCAAGUCGCGUGAGGGAUGAAGGUUCUAUGGAUCGUAAACCUCUUUUAUAAGGGAAUAAAGUGCGGGACGUGUCCCGUUUUGUAUGUACCUUAUGAAUAAGGAUCGGCUAACUCCGUGCCAGCAGCCGCGGUAAUACGGAGGAUCCGAGCGUUAUCCGGAUUUAUUGGGUUUAAAGGGUGCGUAGGCGGCCUUUUAAGUCAGCGGUGAAAGUCUGUGGCUCAACCAUAGAAUUGCCGUUGAAACUGGGGGGCUUGAGUAUGUUUGAGGCAGGCGGAAUGCGUGGUGUAGCGGUGAAAUGCUUAGAUAUCACGCAGAACCCCGAUUGCGAAGGCAGCCUGCCAAGCCAUGACUGACGCUGAUGCACGAAAGCGUGGGGAUCAAACAGGAUUAGAUACCCUGGUAGUCCACGCAGUAAACGAUGAUCACUAGCUGUUUGCGAUACACUGUAAGCGGCACAGCGAAAGCGUUAAGUGAUCCACCUGGGGAGUACGCCGGCAACGGUGAAACUCAAAGGAAUUGACGGGGGCCCGCACAAGCGGAGGAACAUGUGGUUUAAUUCGAUGAUACGCGAGGAACCUUACCCGGGUUUGAACGCAUUCGGACCGAGGUGGAAACACCUUUUCUAGCAAUAGCCGUUUGCGAGGUGCUGCAUGGUUGUCGUCAGCUCGUGCCGUGAGGUGUCGGCUUAAGUGCCAUAACGAGCGCAACCCUUGCCACUAGUUACUAACAGGUAAAGCUGAGGACUCUGGUGGGACUGCCAGCGUAAGCUGCGAGGAAGGCGGGGAUGACGUCAAAUCAGCACGGCCCUUACAUCCGGGGCGACACACGUGUUACAAUGGCGUGGACAAAGGGAAGCCACUUGGCGACAGGGAGCGAAUCCCCAAACCACGUCUCAGUUCGGAUCGGAGUCUGCAACCCGACUCCGUGAAGCUGGAUUCGCUAGUAAUCGCGCAUCAGCCAUGGCGCGGUGAAUACGUUCCCGGGCCUUGUACACACCGCCCGUCAAGCCAUGGGAGCCGGGGGUACCUGAAGUCCGUAACCGCGAGGAUCGGCCUAGGGUAAAACUGGUGACUGGGGCU